GAUGAACGCUAGCUGGAGGCUUAAUACAUGCAAGUCGAGCGGGAUUGGGUAGCAAUACCCAUGAGAGCGGCGCACGGGUGAGUAACGCGUACACGACCUACCUCUGACAGGGGGAUAGCCCUGGGAAACUGGGAUUAAUACCGCAUAUUAUUCUGAAUAAUAAAGGUUUGGAAUGAAAGCUGAGGCGGUCAGAGAUGGGUGUGCGUCUGAUUAGCUAGUUGGUAGGGUAACGGCCUACCAAGGCGAUGAUCAGUAGGGGGCGUGAGAGCGUGGUCCCCCACACGGGUACUGAGACACGGACCCGACUCCUAUGGGAGGCAGCAGUAAGGAAUAUUGGUCAAUGGGCGAAAGCCUGAACCAGCCAUCCAGCGUGCAGGAAGAAGGCCCUAUGGGUUGUAAACUGCUUUUAUCAGGGAAGAAACCUCUGGAUUUACUCCGGAGCUGACGGUACCUGAAGAAUAAGCACCGGCUAACUCCGUGCCAGCAGCCGCGGUAAAGUGU
rnacentral:rRNA from 1 species